UACAGAGGGUGCAAGCGUUGUUCGGAAUUACUGGGCGUAAAGCGCACGUAGGCGGAUUGCUAAGUCAGGGGUGAAAUCCUGGAGCUCAACUCCAGAACUGCCUUUGAUACUGGCGAUCUUGAGUCCGGGAGAGGUGAGUGGAACUGCGAGUGUAGAGGUGAAAAUUCGUAGAUAUUCGCAAGAACACCAGUGGCGAAGGCGGCUCACUGGCCCGGUACUGACGCUGAGGUGCGAAAGCGUGGGGAGCAACAGGG
rnacentral:rRNA from 1 species